GGUUAUAGAUCAGUGGUAGAGCGCUCGCCUAGCACGCAUGAGGUACUGGGUUCAAUCCUCAGCACCA
rnacentral:tRNA from 1 species